CUUAUCUGGAGCCAAAGUCUGGAACAUUUUCUCCCUCCUUGUAAGGCAUGUUUGAGUUCUGGAAUAACAAACAGAUUGGAAACCAGUCUCUGUACAUGACAUGGAAAUCCCUUCAUAAUUAAACUGGUGACCUGUUGGAAAGUCGAGCUUCCUUGGAUACCAGUCUCCACGAUGCACGCUUGGCGUCUGCAUUCACCGGAGAGACUUGAACGUUCCUUUACACCUGCGCCCUGGCACUGGCCGCAAUUCAUCCCCACCCUUUUCACCUCGGACUUCCCUGGUGGCGCAGUGCUUAAGAAUCCACCUGCCAAUGCAGGGCACACGGGUUUGAGCCCUGGUCUGGGUAGAUCCCACGUGUCUCGGAGCAACUAAGCCCAUGUGCCUCAACUACUGAAGCC